rnacentral:rRNA from 1 species
AUGGCCGACGACGGGCUCGACCGGUGGCGCGGCUUCUUCCGGGGCGCCGGCGUCAGCAUCUGCGAGACCAUCGAGAAGGCCAUCCUCGUCGCCGCCGCCGACGAGCCGCAGGAGUUCCUGCGCCGCCGCGACCGCAUAGCCGAGCGCCUCUUCAACGCGCUCCUCGCCCGCCCCUCCUGCCACGGCUGCACCGCCAGCACCGGCUCCGUCCCCCCCGCCACGCCCGCCGUCGCGGAGGACAAGGGCAGCGUGCGCCGCGUCCCCGAGAAGGAGUCCAAGGUCGAUAGCAGCAGCCUCGGCGCGCCCGGGGGUGGGGCGCUCGGCGGCGGCAUCAGCGAGGAUGAAGACUCCGACUCGGAGGACGACGAGCGCCUCCGCCGCGCCGCCGCCAGCAACUACGGCCACAACUAUGAUGACGACAACGACGACGAGGAGGAGGAGGAGGAGCAGGACGCGGCCGCACCGGCGGAGGAGGACCACCACGCUGAAGACGACGACCCGGAGGCUGAGGAGCUGGAGGCCCUCACCAACGAGAUCGAUGAGGAGUCGCAGAUCGUUGGGGAGGUCCUCCGCAUCAAGGAGCUCCUCCUGCACAAGCAAGACCAUUCGGAUGCUACUCUGUUCGACUCACUUAGGAGGCUGCAGCUGAUGCAAUUGUCCGUCUCCACGCUUAGGGCUACUGAGAUUGGGAGGGCUGUUAAUGGCCUUCGGAAGCACAGCUCGCAGCAGAUUCGUCACCUCGCGCUGGCUCUCAUUCAGGAUUGGAAAAUUUUGGUUGAUGAGUGGGUCAGUACUACCAACGUUGCCCUUGCAGACAACUCCCCAGGAACUUCAAACCCUUCUGUUGUGGAUGAUGAUGAUGAAGAAGAAGGCCUUCCUUCUCCACCUUUGGAUGAAGGAGCAUUCUUUGCACCUGAGACUACUGCCAUUCAACUCUCUGAGUUCUUUGACGAAAUGGAUGAAGAUGGAAACUUGAGACACAACAAUGAUGCUCGCAUUGGAAACAAGAGGGAAAACAAUGGCAGGAGGCCUGCAAACCAUUCAACUGUGUCAAAACCAGAACUUACUCGACCUGUUGGAACUGUUGAAAGAGAUCAGUUCCGGAGGCCAGAAUUGACAAGGCAAGAACCACCAAUGAGGCAUACAAACCAGCAAAGACCUCAAGGUUCAAAUUUGCAAGCCAAGCCCCAAGGCAUGCUCAACAAGCAAUCCAGGCCCCUGAGUUCUGAUUCUGGAUCUAUGAGACCAAUGAAGGCAGCUACUCAACAGAAGCCCAUCGGUGAGAUGAAGUACAAACAGACCCAGGAACACUUCGGUGUCGAAAGAAAACCUACAAUGGGUCAUGUGGAUAAAUCAAGGCUUCGUGCACAGCCUUCAUCAGGAGUCAGGUUAGAGUCGGCAAGGCCAAAGACCCAGGAUGGCUUGGAAAGCAACGUAAGGUUGGAAGCAGCCAAGCGUAGGCUCCAGGAACGUUACCAAGAAGCUGAAAAUGCUAAGAAGCAGCGCACGAUACAAGUAAUGGAGCUGGGGGACAUACCAAAGCCUAAGAGUAACACCAGGCAACCUAUGGUGAAGUCAAGGAAUAACAUUAGAAGUAGGGUACUCGGCCGGCGCUGA